rnacentral:rRNA from 1 species
UACGUAGGUGGCAAGCGUUGUCCGGAUUUAUUGGGCGUAAAGAGCGCGCAGGCGGUCAUUCAAGUCGAGUGUGAAAGCCCCCGGCUCAACUGGGGAGGGUCACUUGAUACUGUUUGACUCGAAGGCGGGAGAGGGAAGUGGAAUUCCCGGUGUAGUGGUGAAAUGCGUAGAUAUCGGGAGGAAUACCGGUGGCGAAGGCGGCAUCCUGGACCGGCAUUGACGCUGAGGAGCGAAAGCCAGGGGAGCAAACGGG